rnacentral:lncRNA from 15 species
UCUCUGCCUCCACUUCACCACUUUUUGGCUACUGAGACGUCUCUGAUUGGUUGAGUUGACCACCCUAUAUAUGAGAGCCUAAGAAGUUGUUUUCCUUCUGUCCCCUUUUGAGGACCUGCUUUGUCUCCUCCAUCAUUCACUGGGCCACUUUUGGGUUCCUGAGCUUAUUUCAUGUGGUCAUGAAUUUGGUGAGGAGUGGAGCUGGCUGGCUGCGGACGA